UGGGGGAUAUUGCACAAUGGGCGAAAGCCUGAUGCAGCGACGCCGCGUGGGGGAUGAAGGCCUUCGGGUUGUAAACUUCUUUUGCUCUGAACAAGGCGCACCAUGGGGUGUGUUGAGUGUAGGGGUUGAUUAGCUCCGGCUAACUACGUGCCAGCAGCCGCGGUAAUACGUAGGGCGCGAGCGUUGUCCGGAAUUAUUGGGCGUAAAGGGCUUGUAGGUGGCUGGUUUCGUCGUUCGUGAUAGCUCAUGGCUUAACUGUGGGUUUGCGGUGGGGACGGGGUGGCUUGAGGGCAGUAGGGGAGGCUGGAAUUCCUGGUGUAGCGGUGGAAUGCGAAGAUAUCAGGAGAAAUACCGGUGGGGAAGGCGGGUCUCUGGGCUGUUACUGACACUGAGGAGCGAAAGCAUGGGGAGCGAACAGG
rnacentral:rRNA from 1 species